GUGAACGCCCAGGUGCCGUCCGGCUCCAGCGGCACCGUCUCGCCGAAGUAGUCCCCGUCGGCCAGCACGCCGAGCACGGUCUCGUCGCCGUACUUGCCGGGGCCGGUGCGGUUGAGCUUGCCGUGGGCGAUCAGGUAGAUGUGAUCGGCCGGGGCGCCCACCUCGACGAGCGUGUCGCCCGCCGCGUACUCGCGCUGGACGAAGCCGUCCGCCAGUGCCUCCAGCGCGGUGUUGUCGUCGAAGCCCCGCAGGAGGGGCAGUUCGCCCAGCUCCGGCGGGAUGACCCGCACCUCCGUGCCGGUCGAGAUGAACUCGACCCGGCCGUCCCCGACGGUGUAGGUCAGUCGCCUGUUCACCCGGUACGUGCCCGCGGACACCUGCACCCACGGCAGCACCCGCAGCAGCCAGCGGGAGGAGAUCCCCUGCAUCUGCGGUACGGACUUCGUCGUGGUGGCGAGCUGCCGUGCUGCGGCUGUGCCCAGGCUCAGCUGGGACUCGCCCG
rnacentral:antisense_RNA from 1 species